GCAUUGGUGGUUUAGUGGUAGAGCACUUGCUUGUCAUCUGGGCGACCCGGGUUCGAUCACCGGCCAGUGCA